rnacentral:misc_RNA from 1 species
GAUGAAGAACGCAGUGAAAUGCGAUACUUGGUGUGAAUUGCAGAAUCCCGCGAAUCAUCGAGUUUUUGAACGCAAGUUGCGCCCGAAGCCAUUCGGCCGAGGGCACGUCUGCCUGGGUGUCACGCAUCGUUGCCCCCCCCAAACUUCGGUUCGGGCGGGGCAGAAGUUGGCCUCCCGUGCGUGCCUGCGCGUGCGGUUAGCCCAAAAGCGAGUCCUCGGCGACGAGCGCCACGAAAAUCGGUGGUUUUUUUGCCCUCGUUCCUCGUCGUGCGUGCCCCGUCGCCCGAACGCGCUCUUGCGACCUUCACGCGUCGCCUCGGUGGCGCUCCCAACGCGACCCCAGGUCAGGCGGGACUACCCGCUGAGUUUAAGCAUAUCAAUAAGCGGAGGA